AGAGUUUGAUCAUGGCUCAGAACGAACGCUGGCGGCGUGCUUAACACAUGCAAGUCUAACGAGAAAGCUUCCUUCGGGGAGUGAGUAAAGUGGCGCACGGGUGAGUAACACGUGGGUAACCUACCCUUCAGUUUGGGAUAACAUUUCGAAAGGGAUGCUAAUACCGGAUACGUUCACUCAAGCUUCGGCUUUUUUGGAGAAAGAUGGCCUCUAUACUAUGCUGUCACUGAUGGAUGGGCCCGCGGACCAUUAGCUAGUUGGUAGGGUAACGGCCUACCAAGGCUUCGAUGGUUAGCUGGUCUGAGAGGAUGAUCAGCCACACUGGUACUGGAACACGGACCAGACUCCUACGGGAGGCAGCAGUGGGGAAUAUUGCGCAAUGGGGGCAACCCUGACGCAGCAACGCCGCGUGAGUGAUGAAGGCCUUUGGGUCGUAAAGCUCUGUCAGAGGGGAAGAAGGUGUCAAAGUUAAUAGCUAUGAUUACUUGACGGUACCCUCAAAGGAAGCACCGGCUAACUCCGUGCCAGCAGCCGCGGUAAUACGGGGGGUGCAAGCGUUGUUCGGAAUUACUGGGCGUAAAGGGCGCGUAGGCGGCUAUUUAAGUCAGAUGUGAAAGCCCAGGGCUCAACCCUGGAAACUGCAUUUGAAACUGGAUGGCUUGAGUACGGGAGAGGGAAGUGUAUUUCCAAGUGUAGAGGUGAAAUUCGUAGAUAUUUGGA
rnacentral:rRNA from 1 species